AAUCCUCGUACUUUGUCUUCUCAAGAGCAUGUGCGAUUGUUCCCUGUUGGUUGAUAAGACGAUUUUUUUUUCAUGUUGUGGUGUCAGAUUUGUUUGGUGGCAUAAUAGAACAUUUUUGCAGGGUUCUAUUUUGAUGGCUCAUGUUCACCUGGGUGACUCCUAAUUUGCUUGACAUUAGGGAUGCUACUAAAUUUCCGUCAGUGUAAUUGCCGAUGACCAAGUCUGGUUUGCCCUCCAGUAUUUCAAGAAUCUUGACAGAAGAAUCCUGAAACAACCACGAUAAAUGUAAGGAUAAAUAUCGAACCGGGAGACCCAGUGGCGAAGGUCUUUCCCAUCAUCACUCUUGAAUGGCACGCGGACAAUGCUUGAGUGCUUCGUGUGUUCGACCGGUUCAAGCUCUACAUUGCACUUAGUACCCUUUGCUUCUGGUAUGAGUCUUGUUAGCUGCAACAUGAUAAAAUCAGAUGCUCCCUCCCUGGAAGGCCCUGCUGCUUGAUUCUUUGCAAGAGUUCCUCUUCAAGAGCUCUAACUUGGUCCAGGAUGUAAACUACCUGUUAAGCAAAGAUCAUUUUCAAGCAUGAGUCGAUAGCUGUGUAUUCAGGGUUAUCUAUAUCAGCAUGAGCUCAUUCAUGAUCACCAUACCUGACCACCAGUAUCUGGCAUCCCAAGGACCUUCUCUUGACCGAAGUAACCAUGGAUGGAGAAGAUGACAAUGUUGAAUACUGAUGGCACCCUAUUGAAGAACUUCUCCAUGUUGAAAGGAUCUGGUGCUUGGAGCACUUCAGACAGGCAGUUCAGUGUUUCUCUGCAUGUUUCAGCAGUGUCGCCCCAUCCUUUCUCCAAACCCCACUCCUGAAACCUGCGAUGGCCGGCGAUCAUAACAGGCCAGCGACAAAGACCUCCGCAAGAAGCAAUGCUGUCUGAAGCUUGUUAACGGUGUCGAGGGUGUCACUGAUCAUCAGUUUCUGCAUGACAUUGAGGAAAGGCCGAGCACAUUUUCAGUUAGGUACCUAGCACCGAGCAUACUGAACCUGAAUGAUCAACCGAUGAUCUUACCUCGCCA